CUCUCCUUCCAAGCCUGAUGAUACGUACUGCAGGUGUAGAGGCGGGGGACACUGACUGAGCCUACAGCAAGGGGGAGGGCUGACUGAGCCCACAGCACAGGGUUCAUAUACUCCAUCAUAAACCCACUGCAGUCAUGCAGGAUGAAACUUCUAGACUAAAUGAAUACAUGGAACAAAAUGGGAGUGAGACAUGUUAUCCCCAUAUUAGAGGCAGAACACAGACUUUGGAAGAGUCAGGGUCCAAAGACAUCUCCUACAUGCUUGCCUACUAUCAUACAAGAACUGAAAACAGAUCUCCAGUCCAGUUAGAUGACCCCAGAACCAUCCUUACUCUCAACGGCUUCCAUCUCCAUACUUGCCUCAUUUUGCUGGCAUGGAAAGGUAAAGAACCUGCAAGACACCUACUCUGCUUAGGCAUCCUGCACCACAAGGAGGAGAGCUGAAAAGGAAGAAAGGAGAUUCCACCAUUUCUCUAUGCAUCUAUCUGUCCCGGAAACCAGCACAACACGCAAGGUGCAGAUGACCCCUGAAAUCACUCCUGAAUAGAACUUCCCCUUUUCAUAUUUCCCAACUAGAUAACUGCAUCUAACACUUCUAAGAAAGCAUUGGACAAGGCCCAGCUACAGCCUCAGCUGAGGAGCUUUGACUUCUGUUCCUGAGCGUGUGCAACAUCCAUCUGUUCCAGUUCUGUGGAGUCGGAGAAGGCACUGCUGGAGAACUGGAAGGUUAAAUGAUGAACACAAACAAGAAAAGAAAGAUCAGAUUAAAAAGCUCCUACACACAUAUAUACCCCAAGAACAUCACCAGCUAAGAGCUUAGGGAACAAUUUACUCAGAGCCUUAAUGAUUCCAUAAGUAAUUAUGUUUGGACUUCAUAUGGAGAUUUGUUCUUUGACAGCUAGAGGUUUGUAAAUUAGGGUCAAGCAGGUCCCUUUUUUUUUAAUUGCUUUCAUUUCCACCUCUGUGUUGUGUCUUGCCACUUUAAAUCCCUUAUUGUAUUCUCCGUGGGCCAAUUUCAUCCCUGAGGUAACACCACCAAAGACAGCAAAUUUGAUCCUAUCUGCCUGUCUGGUAUAGAUGCAUGAUAGAAACCACAGAGAUUUCUGCCUGUAUGAUUGACCUGUCACGUGUGUCCAUGCAUCCGACUGCCUGUGUGUUCUGUUUCUUAGUCAUAACCCAAUUUCCUGAAAAAUCAAACUCUACUCUGCUCUGUGUUUCAUACAUUAUUGCUGUCAACAGCAGCUACUGCAGAUAGUAGGGAACCAGUCUUCCUAAUUCCAGAGAGAUUAGUGUCCACAGUUUCAGAUGGCAGCAGGAUGUAUGACGGGUGAUUUAAUAUGCAGCUGAAUUUCACAAAAUAGUUUGACUCUGCAUGACUGAACAACUGCUUGGUUGAGACAUUCAGUAACACAUCACUGGAUGUCAAAGAUUACGCUUGUAUCCGUCUACAUAAACACACAAUGUACUUAAAUUGUUUGUAGAAUUGGGCACACUGUACAAACAUGAUUACCCAACCCUCA